rnacentral:lncRNA from 1 species
CUGGAGUUCCUGGGGUACUGCCCUCAGGAGAACGCGCUGUGGCCCAACCUGACAGUGAGGCAGCACCUGGAGGUGUACGCCGCCGUGAAAGGGCUGAGGAAAGGGGAUGCUGAGGUUGCCAUCACACGGUUAGUGGAUGCGCUCAAGCUGCAGGACCAGCUGAAGUCUCCCGUGAAGACCUUGUCAGAGGGAAUAAAGAGAAAGCUGUGCUUUGUCCUGAGCAUACUGGGGAACCCGUCAGUGGUGCUUCUGGAUGAGCCGUCGACCGGGAUGGACCCCGAGGGGCAGCAGCAAAUGUGGUGAGGAACAUUACCACGGUCAGGGACAGCACGGAUGACUUGCAUGGAGCCUGUGAACCAUUUUUCUUCUGUAAAAAUUGUCCCUUAAACUCUUUUGUGGAGAACAAAAAAACUAUCAAUGUCACUUGUAAAACCAAUACUUUGCA